rnacentral:rRNA from 1 species
AGCGAACGCUGGCGGCGUGCCUAACACAUGCAAGUCGAACGUGAACGGGGGCAACCCUUAGUAAAGUGGCGUACGGGUGAGUAACGCGUAGGUAAUCUACCCUAAAGUCUGGAAUAACCGGCCGAAAGGCUGGCUAAUACUGGAUAGAGCGAGGAAGGACGUAAAAGUCCUUUUCGGGAAAGGGAGGGAGCAAUCCCCCUUGCUUUAGGAUGAGCCUGCGUCUCAUUAGCUAGUUGGUGGGGUAAAAGCCCACCAAGGCAUUGAUGGGUAGCUGGUCUGAGAGGAUGAUCAGCCACACUGGAACUGAAACACGGUCCAGACUCCUACGGGAGGCUG